CUUUGAACAAAAAAACGGUUUUUAUUUAUUAUUUGAACAAAAGAAAGUCAUUUUCUAUUACCAGUGAAAAUAAAAAGGAUAGAAUCUGACGCCACUAUAAACAGCAAAAGCCAGUAUUAUCAGUGUUUGGAAUUUUUUCCCAUUCAUUUUCUAUAAACAUAGCCAUUCGAAAAAACAAUCGGAUGUACGUUGUUCAAGUUAUUUCAUAAUCAUCAUUGUCGUUAACAUCGUCAGCGAAGCAAAUAUUAACCACACAUCCCCAAACACAUACACACACACAACGUGUAUGUAUAUAAACAUUGAUUGAAAUUUUGGUUACUCAAUCAUUAUUCGUUUCGGUUAGAUUGAACAUAUUAAACCGUAUCAUCACAUUAUUAUUGGUUGGUUGAUAAUUGAACCACGCUUUUUACAUUGAAAAAAACAACAACAGCCAUUUCACAAAUUCGCAGUUCAAAUUUGCUGGUGUGAUAUAUAUUGGUUGAUAAUUGAACUGUAAUAAUAAUUGAAUUUUCUUUAGUUUCAAGUUCGAAUUUGGAUUGCAAAUAAGUAACUUUUUUCUUAAUUUCUGCAAAUUUAUUGAAUUUUUUUUCAAGUCAAAUCAAAUCGAAAAAUCUAGUCGUCGAUAACGCAGAGAAGAAAAAAAUUUUUAUUCGACUUUAAUAUUUGCCUGAUUGUUCGAAUGGUCUGAUUACUGUCAUUUUUUUUAAUUUUGUUGCUUA